GCACAAGCGGUGGAUGAUGUGGAUUAAUUCGAUGCAACGCGAAAACCUUACCUACCCUUGACAUGUCCGGAAUCCGAAGAGAUUUGGGAGUGCUCGCAAGAGAACCGGAACACAGGUGCUGCAUGGCUGUCGUCAGCUCGUGUCGUGAGAUGUUGGGUUAAGUCCCGCAACGAGCGCAACCCUUGUCAUUAGUUGCCAUCAUUUGGUUGGGCACUCUAAUGAGACUGCCGGUGACAAACCGGAGGAAGGUGGGGAUGACGUCAAGUCCUCAUGGCCCUUAUGGGUAGGGCUUCACACGUCAUACAAUGGUCGGUACAGAGGGUUGCCAACCCGCGAGGGGGAGCUAAUCCCACAAAGCCGAUCGUAGUCCGGAUCGCAGUCUGCAACUCGACUGCGUGAAGUCGGAAUCGCUAGUAAUCGUGGAUCAGCAUGUCACGGUGAAUACGUUCCCGGGUCUU
rnacentral:rRNA from 1 species